rnacentral:snRNA from 1 species
UUCUUCCCCCUUCUUUCCCCUUCCUCCUUCCCAUAAAUCUUUUGCUUUUUACUAAAGAUUUCUGUGGAGAGAAGCAUUUAUGAGUUUGUACCCAAUUUUUUUGAGGCUUUGUUUUGGUAAGGCU